rnacentral:rRNA from 1 species
GACGAACGCUGGCGGCGUGCCUAACACAUGCAAGUCGAGCGGAGAUGAUGUGAGGAAGUUUUCGGAUGGAAUCACAUUAUUUUAGCGGCGGACGGGUGAGUAACGCGUGAGCGACCAACCUUGCACAGGGGGAUAACGGACCGAAAGGUUCACUAAUACCGCAUGAGACCACGGUGUUGCAUGACACAGGGGUCAAAGGAGCAAUCCGGUGCAAGACGGGCUCGCGUCCGAUUAGGUAGUUGGAGGGGUAACGGCCCACCAAGCCUAUGAUCGGUAGCCGACCUGAGAGGGUGAUCGGCCACAUUGGAACUGAGAUACGGUCCAAACUCCUACGGGAGGCAGCAGUGGGGAAUAUUGGACAAUGGGCGCAAGCCUGAUCCAGCCAUGCCGCGUGAGUGAAGAAGGCCCUCGGGUUGUAAAGGCUCUUUUGUUGGGGAAGAAAGCAGUUGGUUAAUACCCGAUUGUCUGACGGUACCCAAAGAAUAAGCACCGGCUAACUUCGUGCC